UGGGGAAUAUUGCACAAUGGGCGAAAGCCUGAUGCAGCAACGCCGCGUGCGGGAUGACGGCCUUCGGGUUGUAAACCGCUUUCAGCAGGGACGAAGGUUUUCUGACGGUACCUGCAGAAGAAGCACCGGCUAACUACGUGCCAGCAGCCGCGGUGAUACGUAGGGUGCGAGCGUUGUCCGGAAUUAUUGGGCGUAAAGAGCUUGUAGGCGGUCCGUUGCGUCGGAAGUGAAAACUCAGGGCUUAACCCUGAGCCUGCUUUCGAUACGGGCGGACUUGAGGGAUGUAGGGGAGAACGGAAUUCCUGGUGGAGCGGUGGAAUGCGCAGAUAUCAGGAGGAACACCAGUGGCGAAGGCGGUUCUCUGGACAUUUCCUGACGCUGAGAAGCGAAAGCGUGGGGAGCAAACAGGCUUAGAUACCCUGGUAGUCCACGCCGUAAACGGUGGGCACUAGGUGUGGGACCCAUUCCACGGGUUCCGUGCCGUAGCUAACGCAUUAAGUGCCCCGCCUGGGGUAGUACGGCCGCAAGGCUAAAA
rnacentral:rRNA from 1 species